AAGGCAGGCAGAGAUGGCUACCUCGACGAGUAUGUCGGGGAGGAAAGUCCGGGCUCCAGAGGGCAGCGCGCUGGACAAUCUCCAGGCUUCCCUGAGACUUAUCUGGAAAGGAAGACGGAAAGUGCCACAGAAAAUAUACCGCCCCGAAGGUUGCUUCUUCAGAAAAAGCUACAUUCGGGGUAAGGGUGAAAAGGUGGUGUAAGAGACCACCGCUCUUGUGGUGACACAAGAGGCUCGGCAAACCCCGCGCGGAGCAAGACCAAAUAGGAGAGGAUGCGAGGUGCCCAUCGCGUGAUUACUCUCGGGUAGGUCGCCAGAGCCCGCUGGUAACAACGGGCCCAGAGAAAUUGCCAUCAAAUACAAAACCCGGCUUAUCUGCCUGCUUUUAAG
rnacentral:RNase_P_RNA from 1 species